AUUGAACGCUGGCGGCAGGCCUAACACAUGCAAGUCGAGCGGAUGAAGGGAGCUUGCUCCUGGAUUCAGCGGCGGACGGGUGAGUAAUGCCUAGGAAUCUGCCUGGUAGUGGGGGAUAACGUCCGGAAACGGGCGCUAAUACCGCAUACGUCCUGAGGGAGGAAGUGGGGGAUCUUCGGACCUCACGCUAUCAGAUGAGCCUAGGUCGGAUUAGCUAGUUGGUGGGGUAAAGGCCUACCAAGGCGACGAUCCGUAACUGGUCUGAGAGGAUGAUCAGUCACACUGGAACUGAGACACGGUCCAGACUCCUACGGGAGGCAGCAGUGGGGAAUAUUGGACAAUGGGCGAAAGCCUGAUCCAGCCAUGCCGCGUGUGUGAAGAAGGUCUUCGGAUUGUAAAGCACUUUAAGUUGGGAGGAAGGGCAGUAAGCUAAUACCUUGCUGUUUUGACGUUACCAACAGAAUAAGCACCGGCUAACUUCGUG
rnacentral:rRNA from 1 species